rnacentral:rRNA from 1 species
UUGUUGGUAAGGUAAAAGCUUACCAAGGCUUCGAUCAGUAGCUGGUCUGAGAGGACGACCAGCCACACUGGGACUGAGACUCGGCCCAGACUCCUACGGGAGGCAGCAGUGGGGAAUUUUGGACAAUGGGGGCAACCCUGAUCCAGCCAUGCCGCGUGAGUGAAGAAGGCCUUCGGGUUGUAAAGCUCUUUCAGCCGGAACGAAACGGUUACGGUUAAUACCCGUAACUAAUGACGGUACCGGAAGAAGAAGCACCGGCUAACUACGUGCCAGCAGCCGCGGUAAUACGUAGGGUGCGAGCGUUAAUCGGAAUUACUGGGCGUAAAGCGUGCGCAGGUGGUUUUGUAAGUCAGAUGUGAAAGCCCCGGGCUCAACCUGGGAACUGCGUUUGAAACUACAAGACUAGAGUGUGGCAGAGGGGGGUGGAAUUCCGCGUGUAGCAGUGAAAUGCGUAGAGAUGUGGAGGAACACCGAUGGCGAAGGCAGCCCCCUGGGUCAACACUGACGCUCAGGCACGAAAGCAUGGGGAGCAAACAGGAUUAGAUACCCUGGUAGUCCAUGCCCUAAACGAUGUCAACUAGUUGUCGGGCCUUUACGGGCUUGGUAACGUAGCUAACGCGUGAAGUUGACCGCCUGGGGAGUACGAUCGCAAGAUUAAAACUCAAAUGAAUUGACGGGGACCCGCACAAGCGGUGGAUUAUGUGGAUUAAUUCGAUGCAACGCGAAAAACCUUACCUACCCUUGACAUGUAUCGAAGCCCGCAGAAAAGCGGAGGUGCCCGAAAGGGAACGAUAACACAGGUGCUGCAUGGCUGUCGUCAGCUCGUGUCGUGAGAUGUUGGGUUAAGUUCCGCAACGAGCGCAACCCUUGUCAUUAAUUGCCAUCAUUUAGUUGGGCACUUUAAUGAGACUGCCGG